rnacentral:misc_RNA from 1 species
GAAAAAUAUUCUUGUAGCUACAGGCUAUUCUAUACUUCUUCCAUAAGAGGGAAAGACCUUUUAACGAGUAAUAAAUAUAUAUCAACAAAAUUAUUCCUCAAUUUCAAACUAGUUUUUGUCAGACAUUUGACUCCUCUAUACCCGUUGCGCUCCACUGAAACCCAGUUCUCAAUGCUGGAUAAUUGCUCUUUUAGAAAAUUAGGGGUUCCUCAAAACUAGAUGUCUCUUGAUCUGUCACUUAG